rnacentral:rRNA from 1 species
CCUACGGGAGGCAGCAGUAGGGAAUAUUGGACAAUGGGCGCAAGCCUGAUCCAGCCAUGCCGCGUGAGUGAAGAAGGCCCUCGGGUUGUAAAGCUCUUUUGUCCGGAAAGAAAAGCGCUGGGUUAAUACCCUGGUGUCCUGACGGUACCGGAAGAAUAAGCACCGGCUAACUUCGUGCCAGCAGCCGCGGUAAUACGAAGGGUGCAAGCGUUACUCGGAAUUACUGGGCGUAAAGCGUGCGUAGGUGGUUUGUUAAGUCUGAUGUGAAAGCCCUGGGCUCAACCUGGGAAUUGCAUUGGAUACUGGCAGGCUAGAGUGCGGUAGAGGGUAGUGGAAUUCCCGGUGUAGCAGUGAAAUGCGUAGAGAUCGGGAGGAACAUCUGUGGCGAAGGCGACUACCUGGACCAGCACUGACACUGAGGCACGAAAGCGUGGGGAGCAAACAGGAUUAGAUACCCUGGUAGUCCACGCCCUAAACGAUGCGAACUGGAUGUUGGGCUCAACUUGGAGCUCAGUAUCGAAGCUAACGCGUUAAGUUCGCCGCCUGGGGAGGUACGGUCGCGAGACGUAGAACGUACGAACGAAGUUAGACGGCGUGAGACGUUGCCGACGGACGACGACGAGGGAGGAGG